GCUUGGUCUCGGGGACUUUCCGCGCUUGGACAUGUCAUUUUUUCCUGAGAAAAAUAACAAUUGAAUAUGCUCUAAUUUUAGGCUGAAUCAACACUUUGGUUUAUUGUGUUUCUUCAUUUCAUUCGUUGCCUACUUGGAUGUGUCUAGCUCUAAACGAUUCCUUUAAUUAAACAACAACUACAAACAUGCAAUGUUGUUAUAGAGAACGCACGAAUUAGGUAGGGAAAUACACGCGGAAACUAUAGUGCCGCUGUAGCACUUGCAAAACCAACAGUAAGAUGUGCAUGCAGAGCUCCAACUAAGGCAUUUUUCUAACACAUUUGAGGGGAACUAUACAAGUAUGCUGUGAAGCUGUUGUCGCCUCUUGUGUUUAUCGGUGUUACAUUUUUCCCGAGGAGUCGUGAAAGGGAAGGAUGCAGCUUUUUAGUUCGUUUUGCAGUUUGUCUAUUGGAAUAAGACAUGAUGCCCUGGAAACACAUAUGUAUGUGUAAAUAACGACGAUGAGAAUAUAACAUUUGAUAGCACACUAUGGAUACGUAUCUGGCUGUAAAGGUGAAAAGAUGAGCCAAUGAGGCAGAAUAGCGCUUCAUCACUGGCCAGGGAGAGAAGCCACCUUGCAGCACACAUCCUAGGGAGGAUAAAGGGAGACUUGAUUGUUUGUUGCCAUCAGGGAAACGACGACAAGGCUUGCUCUUUGUUCAGAGCUCAAGGUGUGAACUGACAGACCGUGAAUGCUUGGCCUUGGGAGUGUAUAGUGGACCCUAUGGCAGAAAACCACACAAUAUAGCAGGAUGCACUGCCAACAACUAUGGUUUGCAUGCCCUGCCGAAGGAGCCGAUCAUCAUGCGGAAUAAGUGGUUGCAGUUCUUUGGUCGCCAAGGUGGCUUGUCAGGCAAGACCUCAGUCUCCCUCUGUAAAAAGGACACGCCAUCAUGAGGCCUAUGAUAGGGACCAUAGUUACUGCCCUGAUGACACAGACAGCUUCAUCAACAGUGACAGGCCCUCCCAGUCAACACCCCUUCAUAUGAUUUCCUGCUGCUGUUGUUUGAAAGAUGUCCAGUCUGAAGCCGAAUAUGCAGCAUCGAGAAGACCAGCAAAGGGGGCAAUCAUAUGCAUCAUGCCCUCGCUGUGAGCAUUACUAUGAAUGGGACAGUCAGCCACAUGUUGGCAAGUUUCUGGCCUGCAACAUUCACCUGUCAGUGGCAACAGCUUUCACCAAUAGAGAAGUAUCUUCGAUGAGGGGCCAGGAUCUGAUCUAUGCUGCUAUGCUCAUCGAUGGCAUGUAAAUGUAAAAUGUAAUGGGUCUCUGGCAAGACCUCACCUCUUGCCUGCUCAACAGCAGUCGUCGAUGGGGAGAAAAUAAUUAGGCAGAAACUCAAAUAGGAAGAAGCCAUGCUAAGGACUAUUCAACGCUGGUCUGACCAAUCGGAAUCCACGCUUCAAGAAUCUUUUGAUCACGCGGAUUGGGAUAUGCACGCGCUCCAGCAGUGAUAGCGACUCCGACUGGGAGCCCCCGGUGCCAAGCUGCCCGCUCUACCUCUGUCCCCUCUACUCCUGCCUCCAGUGGUGUUCAUAUGCCACAGUUCAUUACUGCAGGCAUGACUGUGCCUCAGGGCCAAAAGGGCACAGCAUGGAGGCGUCGUUGUGUACUGUGUCUCAUGACCUGCACCACUUAUUCAGUUUGCCUCUGCUUUACAUCAGAAAGAGACUGCUAUGGGACAUGGCACAGGGAGCAAAAUAUUGUGUAGAGGACUUCCAAAGGGUCUACGUUUAAAAAAAAUGUUGUUUUA